AACUUUGGAGGUGCAAAAGACGAGGAUAUAUGAUAUAACAAAUGUGCUUGAAGGAAUUGGUCUCAUAGAAAAGAAGCUCAAAAACAGAAUUCAGUGGAAAGGACUUGAUGUCUCAAGGCCAGGGGAGG